AUUGAACGCUAGCGGGAUGCCUUACACAUGCAAGUCGAACGGAGUGGCGAACGGGUGAGUAAUGUAUCGGAACGCGCCCAGUCGCGGGGGAUAACUACGCGAAAGCGUAGCUAAUACCGCAUACUAUCGGACCGGCCGCUAUCGGAUUAGCUAGUUGGUGGGGUAACGGCUCACCAAGGCGACGAACCGUACCUGGUUUGAGAGGACGACCAGCCGCACUGGGACUGAGACACGGCCCAGACUCCUACGGGAGGCAGCAGUGGGGAAUGUUGGACAAUGGGGGAAACCCUGGUACAGCCAUCCCGCGUGUAGGAUGAAGGCCUUCGGGUUGUAAAGGACUUUUGGCAGGAAAGCGGUACCUGCAGAAUAAGCACCGGCUAACUACGUGCCAGCAGCCGCGGUAAUAC
rnacentral:rRNA from 1 species